GUUAUAUGGUCAAGCGAAUAAGCGCACACGGUGGAUGCCUUGGCGGUCAGAGGCGAUGAAGGACGUGGCAGCCUGCGAAAAGUAUCGGGGAGCUGGCAACAAGCUUUGAUCCGGUAAUGUCCGAAUGGGGAAACCCACCCGCUUGCGGGUAUCCUGCAGUGAAUACAUAGCUGCUGGAAGCGAACCUGGUGAACUGAAAUAUCUAAGUAACCAGAGGAAAAGAAAUCAACCGAGAUUCCGUAAGUAGCGACGAGCGAACGCGGACUAGCCCUUAAGCUGGAUUGGUUCUAGGAAAACGCUCUGGAAAGAGCGGCCAUAGAAGGUGAUAGCCCUGUAUCUGAAAGGGCCAUUCCAGUGAAGACGAGUAGGGCGGGGCACGUGAAACCCUGUCUGAACAUGGGGGGACCAUCCUCCAAGGCUAAAUACUACUGACCGACCGAUAGUGAACCAGUACCGUGAGGGAAAGGCGAAAAGAACCCCGGAGAGGGGAGUGAAAUAGAACCUGAAACCGUGUGCGUACAAGCAGUAGGAGCUCCGCAAGGAGUGACUGCGUACCUUUUGUAUAAUGGGUCAGCGACUUACUGUUCGUGGCAAGCUUAACCGUAUAGGGGAGGCGAAGGGAAACCGAGUCUGAUAAGGGCGCAUAGUCGCGGGCAGUAGACCCGAAACCGGGUGAUCUAGUCAUGCCCAGGGUGAAGGUGCGGUAACACGCACUGGAGGCCCGAACCCACUCCCGUUGCAAAGGUAGGGGAUGAGGUGUGAUUAGGAGUGAAAAGCUAAUCGAACCCGGAGAUAGCUGGUUCUCCUCGAAAGCUAUUUAGGUAGCGCCUCAUAUGUAUCCUCUCGGGGGUAGAGCACUGUUAUGGCUAGGGGGUCAUCGCGACUUACCAAACCAUUGCAAACUCCGAAUACCGAGACGGACUGUAUGGGAGACACACGGCGGGUGCUAACGUCCGUCGUGAAAAGGGAAACAACCCAGACCCACAGCUAAGGUCCCAAAUUNNUAUGCGCGGUAGAGGAGCGUUCCGUAAGCCGUUGAAGGUGGAUUGAGAAGUCUGCUGGAGGUAUCGGAAGUGCGAAUGCUGACAUGAGUAACGAUAAUGCGGGUGAAAAACCCGCACGCCGAAAGCCCAAGGUUUCCUUGCGCAACGUUAAUCGGCGCAGGGUGAGUCGGCCCCUAAGGCGAGGACGAAAGUCGUAGUCGAUGGGAAGCAGGUUAAUAUUCCUGCACCUCGCGUAAGUGCGAUGGAGGGACGGAGAAGGUUAGGUGUACCAGGCGUUGGUUGUCCUGGGGAAAGGCGGUAGGUUUGGAUCUUUGGCAAAUCCGGGAUCCUCUAAGACCGAGCACCGAGACAAGCCUUUAUGGCGAAGUCACUGAUACCACGCUUCCAGGAAAAGCUCCUAAGCUUCAGCUUACGCAGACCGUACCGUAAACCGACACAGGUGGGUAGGAUGAGAAUUCUCAGGCGCUUGAGAGAACUCGGGUGAAGGAACUAGGCAACAUGGCACCGUAACUUCGGGAGAAGGUGCACCCUUUUUGGUGGCUCGUGCGAGCUAUAGCUGAAGAGGGUCGCAGUAACCAGGCCGCUGCGACUGUUUAUCAAAAACACAGCACUCUGCAAACACGAAAGUGGACGUAUAGGGUGUGACGCCUGCCCGGUGCUGGAAGGUUAAUUGAUGGGGUCAGCCGCAAGGCGAAGCUCUUGAUCGAAGCCCCAGUAAACGGCGGCCGUAACUAUAACGGUCCUAAGGUAGCGAAAUUCCUUGUCGGGUAAGUUCCGACCUGCACGAAUGGCGUAACGACAGCGGCGCUGUCUCCACCCGAGACUCAGUGAAAUUGAAAUCGCUGUGAAGAUGCAGCGUUCCCGUGGCAAGACGGAAAGACCCCGUGAACCUUUACUAUAGCUUUACACUGAACGUUGAGUUCGUCUGUGUAGGAUAGGUGGGAGGCUAUGAAACCAUGGCGCUAGCUGUGGUGGAGCCAUCCUUGAAAUACCACCCUGUCGUGCUUGACGUUCUAACCUGGGCCCAUUAUCUGGGUCGGGGACCGUGUAUGGUGGGUAGUUUGACUGGGGCGGUCUCCUCCUAAAGAGUAACGGAGGAGCUCGAAGGUACGCUCAGCGCGGUCGGACAUCGCGCACUGUGUGCAAAGGCAUAAGCGUGCUUGACUGCAAGAUCGACGGAUCAAGCAGGUAGGAAACUAGGACUUAGUGAUCCGGUGGUUCUGUAUGGAAGGGCCAUCGCUCAACGGAUAAAAGGUACUCCGGGGAUAACAGGCUGAUACCGCCCAAGAGUUCAUAUCGACGGCGGUGUUUGGCACCUCGAUGUCGGCUCAUCACAUCCUGGGGCUGUAGUCGGUCCCAAGGGUAUGGCUGUUCGCCAUUUAAAGUGGUACGCGAGCUGGGUUCAGAACGUCGUGAGACAGUUCGGUCCCUAUCUGCCAUGGGCGUUGGAGAUUUGAGAGGGGCUGCUCCUAGUACGAGAGGACCGGAGUGGACGAACCUCUGGUGUUCCGGUUGUCACGCCAGUGGCAUUGCCGGGUAGCUAUGUUCGGAAGCGAUAACCGCUGAAAGCAUCUAAGCGGGAAGCGCGCCUCAAGAUGAGAUCUCCCGGGGCACAAGCCCCCUGAAGGAACCAUGUAGACUACGUGGUUGAUAGGUCAGGUGUGUAAGUACAGCAAUGUAUUGAGCUAACUGAUACUAAUGAUCCGUGCGGCUUGACCAUAUAACCUCA
rnacentral:rRNA from 1 species